GUACUUAUACUCAAACACUCUCUUGUUUUACUACUUGCACUGUGGCCUGUUUAGCCAGCUGAAAGCCAAGGCUAUAUUUUGAAGUCCUGCUACUUUUCGUUACUACAUCUUGCUUCUUUGACUGGUAUGUUCUAAUAAGCUUUCAGCAUCAACAACAACAUGGUUACUUGAUAUUCUUGCAUUCUUGUCUGCCUACUGCUUGUAUCUAAUUCAAUACCUUUAUUUGGCAUGCUGUAAUUUCUGAAUCAAUGUAGUAUGAAUCAUAAAUCCAUACCCAAUGUUUUUAAUAUUUAUGGUAUGUUUGGGGCAUGACAACAUCGAAUAUUGCUGAGCAUGACUCAAACUUGGUCCUCCUAGGAUCAUAACCUCCAUGAUACCCUUAUGUGUUGUGUGUUCUAGUUGAUUUUUCAAGCAUGACAACACUCUCCAAUGAUGUGCAUGCCCAUAGUUAACUCAUACCUAAAUAUAUAGGCUCCUUGCAAUGGAUUCCCAAUCCCCUGCCCCUUGGUGUGAAAUUAUCAACUCCUUGAAAUGUUAAUGGUUGUUUCCCAUUACCUUUUUCCUCUCCUUUAUUCCCUCAGCAUUUUAAACUCAAUUUCUGCACUUUCACUCUCCUAUCAGAUUUAAGCUCUGCCACUUCAUGUGAGCCUUGCCAUGGGAACCAUGAGCUCCCUCUGAACUUGGACACAUGAGGGCUGGUAUUUUUGCACUGCACUUGUCCCUAUUCUAGUAAUGUAAUUUGGGUGUGAGCACUGCCCGGGAUCCUAUUGAGGCCCUUAGGGAACUCUAAUACAGUCUGUUGAUACCCAAUUUUUUUCCUGUGUAUUUUUAUACUCAAAAUUUUUUCAAAAUAGCAUGUGUAUGCAUAUAUAAGCAUGCCCAAGAGCUUUGGUAUUUUUCCUAAUUUUUAAUGAUUUUCCAAAUCAAUUUUUUUUUUAUCUAUUUUAGUAGUACAAAAUUCAAUAAUUAUUCCCAAACUAUCAUUUUGGUGAAUACUUUAUUUCCA
rnacentral:lncRNA from 1 species